AUAGCCAACUUUUGAUCAAACAUCUCGAGAAUGCAAUCGAACAAAGUGUAAUAGCGGGUCAGGCAGAAAUACACCCCAAAAUGGUGAAACUGUGUAGUUAAUGAACGAAAUGAACAAAUAUGAAUUUUUCUCUCUUUUCCCUCUUUUGGCCCAAUUAUAGAAGGCAGAUCUGUGGCCACAAUGUAGGCAAAGGGACAGAAAUGAAGCAGAAAGAUCAAGAAGAACCAAAAAUUAGGUAAUCAGCCCUCCUUCAAAGAAUUACCUUGGCCUCUGAGCACUGAUAAUCUCUACUUAUUACAGGGCUCCUUAUUUAAAAAAAAAAAAUCAUGGGCUUAAAAUACUUAGAAAAGUAGAACUGAAGGAAAUUUUUUUUGGCUUUUGGGGUUUUUUUUUUUAAAGCAUUUCUAACAACUUCAGGUUAAGGAAGACAGAGGGUAAAAAGUACAUUUUGAUGCAAAAUAAGACACUCUGGGGGUUUCUCUAAAGCAGAAAGCCUAGGGAGAUGGAAUACUAACCAAGGUUAAAAAUGAGAAGGCCUGACAGGAAGGCCAGUCUGCCAAAUUAAGUUACCUUUUCUCCUCCUAACAGUUGAAAAUUAGAUACCUUUGUGAUGCUUUAUUUAGGUAAAAAUGAUACAGUAUCACAAACCUCUCUUUUUAACACUACCGAAGUAUUCUGGUUCCAUAACUACCUGACAACCAACUUCACAGCUAGCCAGACCUAGAGAAAAUGUCACAGCCAACCUAAUGAAAUCUCAUCUCUUAUUUGAAGUAUCCUAUCUAUAAACCCAAAGCUCUGUGGACAAACACCCCAAAGAAAUUUUAGGCUACAAAAAUGCCUCCGCUUUCCAAAAUCCCCCAAAACACACUGUUAGUAAAAUAAAUGCAGUCAGCAUGUGUUCCCUUCUCGCACAGCCUCAAUCCUGGCUCUUGGAGAGUAAGAGGAUAUUUGGAAGAUUUCCUUCCCUUGGGGACCUCUGAGUCCCUUGGUGGUGCAGCAGCAGACCCCGAUUCAAAGCCGGAUUCCAGACUCUACUCCAAUGUGAACGGGUUAAAGUGAGCCUAUUAACACUAACCCAGGGAGUUCCCAUUAUGGCUCAGUGGGUGAAGAACCCCACUAGUAUUCAUGAGGAUGUGGGUUCAAUCCCUGGCCUCGCUCAGUGGGUUAAGGAUCUGGCGCUGCCGUGAGCUGUGGUGUAGGUCACAGAUGCGUCUUAGAUGCCGAGUUUCUGUGGCUGUGGUGUGGGCUCCAGCUGCAGCUCCGAUUAGACCCCUAGCCUGGGAAGUGCCAUAUGCUGCAGGUGCAGCUAUAAAAAGAAAAGGAAAAAAAAAAAAAAAAAAAAAAAAAGAAAAGAAAGGAAAAGAAACACUAAACCAGAUCCUGCUCGUACUCUCCUCAAAAAUCUCCCCUUCAUCUUCCCUAGCAGAGUGAAAACCAAAGCCCUACAAUGGCCUCUGGCUGCUGCACAUUCUGGCCCCUGUGCCUUUACCGCCGGUCCCUCCCUUUGCACAGCCACUCCAGACACACUGGCCUCUCUCUGCCCUGGCGGUUCCCCUGCCUGGAAUGCUCUCCCCCAAGUAUGUGCACGGCUAACCCUGUCACCUUCAGAUAUUUGAAUAAAUGUUUCCCUUCCAUCAGAUUCACUUAAAACUGCAUGCUGGGGGGAUGGGAUGGGGGUUUGGGAUGGACAUGCUAUAAAACUGGGUUGUGAUGACUGUUGCACAACUAUACAUGUAAUAAAAUUCAUUGAGUUUAAAAAAAUAAAAUAAAAAUGAAACUUCAGUUUUGUUUUUUAAAAAAAAAAAAAAAAACUACAUGUCCUUUCGGCUCUAUUUUUUUUUUUCUUUUUUCCCAUGGUGCUUAUCACUUUCCAACAAAUGACACGAUUGACUUAUUUAGUAAAGUGUUUCUUGUUUCUUGUGCUCUUCUAACCCCCCAAAGUAAACACUUCUGGAGGGCAGGGAUUUGCCUGUGUUGAUCACUCAUGUAUCUCAUGUGCCUGGUAUAUAGCAGGUCUUCAAUCAAUUAUUUACAGAAUGAAUGAAUAAGACCUUGUAUUGGUCUAACUUCUUAGAAUUCCAUGAAAUAUCCAUUCUUCCUGCUUGGUAAACUGGUAACUGGUUAUUUCCCCAUGGAUACCAACCCAAGAAACUAAGUUACUAAAAUCUGAAAAACUCUAGAUUAAAUUGCACCAUGUAUUGAGAAUUUGUCCAGGAACUGAGUUUUACAUGUAUUUUCACAUUUAAUCUUCACCAAAAGCCAAUUAGAAAGACAUUACGUUCCUCCCCAAUAUCUUUUUUUUUUUUUUUUUUGUCUUUUUAGGGCCACCCCUGCGGCAUAUGGUGGUUUCCAGGCUAGGGGUCUAAUCGGAGCUGUUGGCGCGCAAGCCUACGCCACAGCCACAGCAACACCAGAUCUGAGCCAUGUCUGCAACCUACACCACAGCUCACGGCAACGCUGGAUCCUUAAACCACUAAACGAGACCAGGGAUUGAACCUGCAUCCUCAUGGAUGCCAGUCAGAUUCGUUUCCCCUGAGCAACGACUGGAACUCCCCUCCCUAAAAUCUUAAAGAGCCUAAGGAAAUUCAAUUACAGAGAGAUGAAAUAAUCCGAGACUGAAUUCGCUAGGAGUGCCUGUGCUGGGCUCUCUGCAGACCCCAGGCCAUCUGAUGGUGCCCCUUUCUGCUCCCUUCGUUAUAAAAUGGAUCCACUUCUUCAACAGCCCCAGAUAACAGAGAGACCCU
rnacentral:lncRNA from 1 species